ACCUGGGUGGCUCAGUCGGUUGAGCGUCCGACUUCGGCUCAGGUCAUGAUCUCACAGUUUGUGGGUUCGAGCCCCGCAUCAGGCU
rnacentral:tRNA from 1 species